AACUAACGAAAUUGGUAAUCUUAUAGAGAACAAAAAUAUGGAAGAGAAAUUGUCUUAGGGAUAUACCCAAAGGUGAACUUGUGAAGUAUACAGAAAAGUAUAUUAAUCAAAACGAUAUAGACAAAUGGUUAAAUAUUUAUAAAAAUUGGUGUGCUUGGCAGGAUAUUGAUGGCAAUAUUGAAUUUGAUAUACAUUUGUCUCCAAUUGAAGUAUCAAGAAUUACCAGCAUUGCAGUUUCAGGAAGAUAUGUAGCAGUGGGUUCAGAAGAUGGUAGAAUCAAAAUAUUUAAUGACAAUUGGGACUUAUUGCAUACAACCAGAUAUCAAGCAAUCAAAAUCACAGAAAUAACUUUUAUGUGUGAUGAAGAAUACUUUGAGGCAAGGAAUGGAAGAAUUUAUGUUCUUAUUGCAUACAAAACAGGCACCUUAGUUUUAACAGAAUUUGAUGGAAAAUUAAAUGAACUUUCAGUCAUUCAAGAUGUUAAAUUGCAUAGGUAAGAAUUAUUAUGUCAUUCCACCUUCCAAAUUAAAG